UCAGCAUUGGAUUAUACCAUUCUGCACGUGUCACAAGGCGUAUACGAAAUUAGAAGUGCCUGUUUUCUUUAUGUUUUUCAUUUGGACAGAUCGAGCCUCGCUUCAUGGCCGAACUCUUCUACAAAAGAAAAUAACACAUUUACCAUUGACGCAACACAAGUUCGACGCUAAUCAAUUUGGUAAAAUUCGCCUGUACGUAUGAUUGCUACAGAGCCCGUAUUGGUCUAGGUAGUAAAAACCAUGAGCAAACAGUUAAACGGAAUUAACUAAGCUGAAAUCGACGCUGUUUAGGAGAGACGGACUCGAAUAGCUCAAUGAACGUUUAAGGUGUCUUCAGCUCAUUUCGACAUUACCGAUAUCGCUACCUCUUCAGAACGUUGUGUGGCUUUUUUAUUAGACGAACCGUCGUGAAGUGCUUCUGUGAGGUCAUGCCAGUGGAUCACUGGGUUACACGUUGGCCACUUAGUUUACUGCCGCAACCCAUCGCUAGAAGACGCCUCUAAAAGAAGCGGAAAUCAGAGAACUUCGAUCGCCAUUCAAGGCUAAUUCCGGUAAACGACAGGUUAAUGAACGCGAGCAGCCGAUGUAUGAACGCGGGAAGGCUUUUAACGAUAUUUUUAAAAGGACAAAUUCGUGACCGGGAUAAACCUAACGAGUACAAGUGUUUUGGGAACAAUGGGAAAAGCCAGCCUCACGCGCGACCCAGUCCCCACGCAGUGCCAGGAGGAGGAUCAACAACUGUGUUAAAAUUUCAAGUAAUUCAAUGACACAUUGAUAAAGCUAGUUUAACAAUUGUUGAGAUGGGUACGUACUUGUUAUAAUCAAAACAGAGCUGACCGCAGUUACGUAAUACUAUACUGAUUUAAAAUGCAUUCUCUUAUAUACAUAUCAACUAUUUACUCCUAUAUAUAUUCAAGCUUAACGUCAACAUUUGGGCGAUUUUGACCGACGGAUUGGAGAUUCUUGAGGUUAGCUGGGCAUAUAUGCCUUUUUU